UGUCAGCAGCCGCGGUAAUACGGAGGGUGCAAGCGUUGUUCGGAAUUACUGGGCGUAAAGCGCGCGUAGGCGGUUUGUUAAGUCAGAUGUGAAAGCCCAGGGCUUAACCCUGGACGUGCAUUUGAAACUGGCAGACUUGAGUAUUGGAGGGGGUGGUGGAAUUCCCGGUGUAGAGGUGAAAUUCGUAGAUAUCGGGAGGAAUACCGGUGGCGAAGGCGACCACCUGGCCAAAUACUGACGCUGAGGUGCGAAGGCGUGGGGAGCAAACAGGAUUAGAUACCCUGGUAGUCCACGCGGUAAACGAUGAGAACUAGGUGUUGGGACGGUUGAUCGUCUCAUUGCCGCAGCUAACGCAUUAAGUUCUCCGCCUGGGGAGUACGGUCGCAAGAUUAAAACUCAAAUGAAUUGGCGG
rnacentral:rRNA from 1 species